UAUGUACUCCCUCCGUCUCAAAAUUCUUGUCUUAUAUUUGUCUAUAUAUGAAUGUAUCAAGUCAUACUUUAGCUUUCAGAUACAUCCAUUUUUAGACAAACUUAAGAUAAGAAUUGUGAGACGGAGGGAGUAUGUA
rfam:Hordeum vulgare subsp. vulgare, WGS project CAJW01000000 data, contig: morex_contig_41396